AAUNCUUUAUGCGUCAAAAGGAUUCGUCUGCCCAAGGAUGGGUCUGCGGCCUAUCAGGUAGUAGUGGGUGUAAUGUACCUACUAGCCAGCGACGGGUACGGGUUGUGAGAGCAAGAGCCCGGAGAUGGAUUCUGAGACAUGAAUCCAGGCCCUACGGGGCGCAGCAGGCGCGAAAACUUUACAAUGCGGGAAACCGUGAUAAGGGGACACCGAGUGCCAGCAUCAUAUGCUGGCUGUCCGGAUGUGUAAAAUACAUCCGUUAGCAAGGGCCGGGCAAGACCGGUGCCAGCCGCCGCGGUAACACCGGCGGCCCGAGUGGUGAUCGUGAUUAUUGGGUCUAAAGGGUCCGUANCCGGUUUGGCCAGUCCUCCGGGAAAUCUGAUAGCUCAACUAUUAGGCUUUCGGGGGAUACUGCCAGACUUGGAACCGGGAGAGGUAAGAGGUACUACAGGGGUAGGAGUGAAAUCUUGUAAUCCCUGUGGGACCACCUGUGGCGAAGGCGUCUUACCAGAACGGGUUCGACGGUGAGGGACGAAAGCUGGGGGCACGAACCGGAUUAGAUACCCGGGUAGUCCCAANCCGUAAACGAUGCUCGCUAGGUGUCAGGCAUGGCGCGACCGUUNUCUGGUGCCGUA
rnacentral:rRNA from 1 species